AGGUGUCUGAUCAAGGUCAGCCUAUGAUUGAUGUAAAGCUUCGAGUAGAACUCCUUAAACUUUGGGUUGUUGAAUUGCUGCUCACCAAUGAUGAUGGCAUGAUAAAGUCUAAAUAAUAAUAGACUUUCAGAUGAAGUCCUAGACCUUCUGCUCGAUGAUCUACGCUAAGGCUCAAUUUUGACCCACUUUAUAAAGUAAUUGAUUGGCAAUGAUGAGGAACUUUCUUUAUCCUGUUGCCUAUGAAAAGGGACUGAGGAUGUCGAUUCCCCAACUAAACAAAUGG
rnacentral:lncRNA from 1 species